rnacentral:rRNA from 1 species
UACGGAGGAUGCGAGCGUUAUCCGGAUUUAUUGGGUUUAAAGGGUGCGUAGGCGGGAUGUUAAGUCAGCGGUAAAAUUGAGGGGCUCAACCCCUUCGAGCCGUUGAAACUGGCAUUCUUGAGUGAAUGAGAAGUAUGCGGAAUGCGUGGUGUAGCGGUGAAAUGCAUAGAUAUCACGCAGAACUCCGAUUGCGAAGGCAGCAUACCGGCAUUCAACUGACGCUGAAGCACGAAAGCGUGGGGAUCAAACAGG